UACAGAGGUCCCAAGCGUUGUUCGGAUUUACUGGGCGUAAAGGGUGCGUAGGUGGCGAGGUAAGUUCGAUGUGAAAUCUCCGAGCUCAACUCGGAAAUGGCAUUGAAUACUAUCCCGCUUGAGGGUCGGAGGGGAGACUGGAAUUCUCGGUGUAGCAGUGAAAUGCGUAGAUAUCGAGAGGAACAUCAGUGGCGAAGACGAGUCUCAGGACGACUCCUGACACUGAGGCACGAAAGCUGGGGGAGCAAACAGG
rnacentral:rRNA from 1 species